rnacentral:sRNA from 1 species
CGACACAAGUAUCACUCGUAUAUACUCUACCUGAUGUAGAAUUUCUGCAAAAUCCAAAUCAAAGAGAAUUGGAUAAACCCACAACAUCUUUCUGGGCAUAAAUAACUGUAAAACGAAAUUUAUUUUGUAUAUCUUUUAACUUUAUUUCUUUUUUUUUAAAUUAUUUUAGACAAAUGCUGAUGAUAAAUCAUAGUUUAAACUUCA